UGGGGAAUCUUCCGCAAUGGGCGCAAGCCUGACGGAGUGACGCCGCGUGGGGGACGAAGGCCUUCGGGUCGUAAACCCCUGUCAGAGGGAAAGAGGGGUGGUGCGGUGAACAGCCGCAUCACUUGACGGUACCUUCAGAGGAAGCACCGGCUAACUCCGUGCCAGCAGCCGCGGUAAUACGGAGGGUGCAAGCGUUGUCCGGAAUCACUGGGUGUAAAGGGUGUGUAGGCGGAUCAAGAAGUCAGGGGUGAAAUCCCGCAGCUCAACUGUGGAACUGCCUUUGAUACUGCUGAUCUUGAGUAUCGGAGAGGUCACCAGAAUUCGUGGUGUAGCGGUGAAAUGCGUAGAUAUCACGAGGAAUACCUGAGGCGUAGGCGGGUGACUGGACGAUUACUGACGCUGAGGCACGAAAGCGUGGGGAGCAA
rnacentral:rRNA from 1 species